rnacentral:rRNA from 2 species
GAGCGCCCCGCAAGGGGAGCGGCAGACGGGUGAGUAACGCGUGGGAACGUACCUUUUGCUACGGAAUAACUCAGGGAAACUUGUGCUAAUACCGUAUGUGCCCUUCGGGGGAAAGAUUUAUCGGCAAAGGAUCGGCCCGCGUUGGAUUAGCUAGUUGGUGAGGUAAAGGCUCACCAAGGCGACGAUCCAUAGCUGGUCUGAGAGGAUGAUCAGCCACACUGGGACUGAGACACGGCCCAGACUCCUACGGGAGGCAGCAGUGGGGAAUAUUGGACAAUGGGCGCAAGCCUGAUCCAGCCAUGCCGCGUGAGUGAUGAAGGCCCUAGGGUUGUAAAGCUCUUUCACCGGUGAAGAUAAUGACGGUAACCGGAGAAGAAGCCCCGGCUAACUUCGUGCCAGCAGCCGCGGUAAUACGAAGGGGGCUAGCGUUGUUCGGAUUUACUGGGCGUAAAGCGCACGUAGGCGGACUUUUAAGUCAGGGGUGAAAUCCCGGGGCUCAACCCCGGAACUGCCUUUGAUACUGGAAGUCUUGAGUAUGGUAGAGGUGAGUGGAAUUCCGA